GAUGAACGUUGGCGGCGUGCCUAACACAUGCAAGUCGAACGCUGGUAGCAAUAUCAGAGUGGCGCACGGGUGAGUAACACGUAGCUUACCUACCUCAAAGCGCGGGAUAACGUUCCGAAAGGAAUGCUAAUACCGCAUAAGCUCCCGGUCUGUAGAGGGCUGAGAGAAAAGGGGCAACUCACUUUGAGAUGGGGCUGCGGCCCAUCAGCUGGUUGGUGAGGUAACGGCUUACCAAGGCAACGACGGGUAGGGGACCUGAGA
rnacentral:rRNA from 1 species